UACGUAGGUGGCGAGCGUUAUCCGGAUUCACUGGGCGUAAAGCGCGUGCAGGCGGUUCCGUAAGUCGGACGUGAAAGCUCCUGGCUUAACUGGGAGAGGUCGUUCGAUACUGCGGGACUUGAGGUUGGGAGAGGGAUGUGGAAUUCCCGGUGUAGUGGUGGAAUGCGUAGAGAUCGGGAGGAACACCAGUGGCGAAGGCGGCAUCCUGGCCCAUACCUGACGCUGAGACGCGAAAGCGUGGGGAGCGAACGGGAUUAGAUACCCCCGUA
rnacentral:rRNA from 1 species